rnacentral:rRNA from 1 species
UACAGAGGGGGCAAGCGUUGUUCGGAAUUACUGGGCGUAAAGGGCGCGUAGGCGGCCUGUUAAGUCGAACGUGAAAUCCCUGGGCUCAACCCAGGAACUGCGUCCGAUACUGGCAGACUUGAGUGUGGCAGAGGGGGGUGGAAUUCCAGGUGUAGCAGUGAAAUGCGUAGAUAUCUGGAGGAACACCGAUGGCGAAGGCAGCCCCCUGGGCUAACACUGACGCUGAUGCACGAAAGCGUGGGGAGCAAACAGG